rnacentral:rRNA from 1 species
ACGCUCGACACCUACGGGAGCCAGCAGUGGGGAAUAUUGCACAAUGGGGGAAACCCUGAUGCAGCGACGCCGCGUGAGCGAAGAAGUAUUUCGGUAUGUAAAGCUCUAUCAGCAGGGAAGAAGAAAGACGGUACCUGACUAAGAAGCCCCGGCUAACUACGUGCCAACAGCCGCGGUAAUCUGAGCGGGCUGGCAAGGC